CUUGUGCUGCUGUGUUCGCCCGUUACUGGAAUGCAUGCCCAGACCGAUAGACUAUUACUGGGGGCGGCCCCUGUGGACUGAUGUCAUGCCUUUUCAGGAAGACAGAUGAUCGCAGGAUGUCCCCAACCUGUUGAGCAAACGGAAAUGUGGCUCUCGCGCCAAGGACGGCACAGCGGCAAUUUU
rnacentral:other from 1 species